rnacentral:tmRNA from 1 species
GUUCACCUAAGCUAGUUGCAAAUGACAACAAAGCUCCGAUGGCUCUGGCUGCUUAAGCAGUCCGAAACAUCGAAAUCCUAAGUCCUUACGCCUAGCAGCCUAAGGCGGGGUUCGCAGGCACCUGGCAACAGAAGCCUGCACU